UACGGGGGGGGCAAGCGUUGUUCGGAAUUACUGGGCGUAAAGGGCUCGUAGGCGGCCAACUAAGUCGGAUGUGAAAUCCCCAGGCUCAACCUGGGAACUGCAUCCGAUACUGGAUGGCUUGAAUCCGGGAGAGGGAUGCAGAAUUCCGGGUGUAGUGGUGGAAUGCGUAGAGAUCCGGAGGAACACCAGCGGCGAAGGCGGCAUCCUGGACUGGUCCUGACACUCAGGAGCGAAAGCGUGGGGAGCGAUCCGG
rnacentral:rRNA from 1 species